rnacentral:rRNA from 1 species
AUUGAACGCUGGCGGCAGGCCUAACACAUGCAAGUCGAACGAGUGGCGGACGUGUGAGUAAUGUCUGGGAAACUGCCUGAUGGAGGGGGAUAACUACUGGAAACGGUAGCUAAUACCGCAUACCAUCAUAUGUGCCCAUAUGGGAUUAGCUAGUAGGUGGGGUAAUGGCUCCCCUAGGCGACGAUCCGUAGCUGGUAUGAGAGGAUGACCAGCCACACUGGAACUGAGACACGGUCCAGACGCCUACGGGAGGCAGCAGUGGUGAAUAUUGCACAAUGGGAGCUAGUCUGAUGCAGCCAUGCCGCGUGUGUGAAGAAGGCCUUCGGGUUGUAAAGCACGUUCAGCGAGGAGGCGUUACUCGCAGAAGAAGCACCGGCUAACUCCGUGCCAGCAGCCGCGGUAAUUC